rnacentral:misc_RNA from 1 species
UUGCAAGCCAAGAGGAGCUAGAGUUGCUACUUGGUAAAACAAGCCUAGACUCCAUUGAUUUUUUCUUCUUCUAUGAUGCUAUCACAAAGGCAAAUAUUAAUAAAGGUAGCAAUUAUAAGCACGAGGAUCGAGAAAAUGUUUUCUUGGAAAAUGACCUACGUAAAGUGUUUAGAGUAUUCGAUUUAAACGAGGACGGAUUCAUAUGUUGUGAGGAGCUGCAAAGAGCAUUGUCAAGAUUAGGAUUGUGGGAUGAACAAUGUGG